rnacentral:lncRNA from 1 species
CAAUCACCAACCAACCAACCAAUCACCAACCAACUAAUCACCAACCAACCAAUCACCAAUCAACCAAUCAACCAAGACAAGGCCGAUAUUUUAGCCAAAAUGCUGUAUUUAUUGAAUUUACAGUGAUACAGUUGAUAUUAUUUCUCCAGAUAAUAAACAGGAUUACAUCCUGAUGUAGCACAGUAUUAUUCUCUUUGACAAGGCAAUCAGUCAUUUCUACAUUCAGUGUCAACAAACUCUGAGCCCCAAAUGGCACCCUAUUCCCUAUGUAGGGCACUACUUUAGACUAGAGUCAUAUGGACCCUGGUCUAUAUAGGGAGAAGGGUGUCAUUUGGGAUGGAUCCUACAGUAUCCCUCUCUCUCUAACUCUCUCUUUCUUAAGUGGCUUGGGGCUCAGAGAGAAACUCUUAAAGGGGGGAGAAGGGCAGAGGGAUGAGGGGUGGAGGGAUGGAGGGAUGGGGUGGAGGGAUGGCAGGACAGAAGGGUGGAGGCAUGGAGGGAGAGAAGGGUGGAGGCAUGGAGGGAGAGAAGGGUGGAGGCAUGGAGGGGUGGAGGGAUGGAGAGAAGGAUGGAGGGAUGGAGCGAGAGAAGGAUGGAGGAUGGAGAGAUGGAGGGAGAGAAGGGUGGAGGGAUGUAUGUAAGACAGGAUGACAGUCGACAGCCUUAAAUAAGGCCUGAGGGGAGGAAAGGAAAAGAGUUGCCACACAGUCUACAGUGUGUGGAGAGAAAUGUGAAGCUAGCCCUCUAUGCGAAACUGAAUAAGCCCCCAGGCUGAGUCUCCCGGGUAGGAAAUUGGCUAACAGUGUUAGCGAGCCAAGAGCAACCUUCUGGCUUGGUCUUUAUGUUUCAUUUAGAUCUUAUUUGCUACAUGCACACAAAGUCAAUGGAACUCUUCAGCACGUUUUACAUAGAACCACUGGCCGUGUUCUAGAACUUCUAGUGUUCUACAGUAGAAUUCUCUGGCUGUGUUCUAGAACAUAGUAGAGUCACCUAGCUAGCUAAUACAGUGGUUCUCAAUCCUGGUCCUGGGGACCCAAAGGGGGACACAUUUCUGUUUUUGCUCUAGCACUACACACCUGAUUCAAAUCAUCCAAGCUUGAUGAUCAGUUGAUCAUUUUAAAAUCAGCAAAAACUAAAAUGUGUCCCCCUUCGGGACCCCAGGACCAGGAUUGAGAACCACUGAUUGAACAGAUAAGGUGACACUAUAAACUAUUUAAAAAGUGGAAUAAAAACAGGGUGAUGAAAGUGCAAUCACUUUAAAAAUGAUUAAAAACUUAAAACUCAGCGUUUAAAAAUACUUUAAAAAAACAUUCUCAUCAGAACAAGUGUGUUAAACAUACUGGUCUGUUUCUCAGAGCAAUAUAGACCAGAUUACUACUGAGAUCAUUGUACACACACUCAUCAAAUCAAACUAAUAUUUUAUGCCCAAACUAAUGCUCCGAUGUACAUAAAUAGAUAUAAAUUGGGAUAUUAUAAAGACAACUUUUCAGGUCCCAAAGCACCCUGGAACUUUAACUUAAAAAAGUGGUCUUCUCCCCUAUAGUACCCUAGCAAUGGUCCUGUGAACCAUACAUAAAACACGGAGCAUUCAACACGGAAAAUGUUAAAAAACUUACAAAUUCACCCUCACAACCAAAAGAGUUGUACCCCCCCAACCUGACUAUCAAUUAUCACAAAAAAAAGGUACAUUUCUUCUUAUUUUUUUAUUACAAGUCUUAGAAUGUUAAAAUAAACAAUGAUGGUGAAUAUACACAUUGAGGGGGACAUUAAACCAAGAUGGACAGGCAGCAAGCGUCAGCGGUGGAGGAGAGGAAGGGGGACGAGAGGUGAGGAAGGGGGAUGAGAGGUGAGGAAGAGGGAGGCAGCAAGCGUCAGCGGUGGAGGAGAGGAAGGGGGACGAGAGGUGAGGUAGAGGGAGGAGAGGGAGGCAGCAAGCGUCAGCGGUGGAGGAGAGGAAGGGGGACGAGAGGUGAGGAAGAGGGAGGCAGCAAGCGUCAGCGGUGGAGGAGAGGAAGGGGGACGAGAGGUGAGGAAGAGGGAGGCAGCAAGCGUCAGCGGUGGAGGAGAGGAAGGGGGACGAGAGGUGAGGAAGAGGGAGGAGAGGAAGGCAGCAAGCGUCAGCGGUGGAGGAGAGGAAGGGGGACGAGAGGUGAGGAAGAGGGAGGAGAGGGAGGCAGCAAGCAUCAGCGGUGGAGGAGAGGAAGGGGGACGAGAGGUGAGGAAGAGGGAGGAGAGGGAGGCAGCAAGCAUCAGCGGUGGAGGAGAGGAAGGGGGACGAGAGGUGAGGAAGGGGGAUGAGAGGUGAGGAAGGGGGAUGAGAGGUGAGGAAGAGGGAUGAGAGGUGAGGAAGGAGAGGAAGAGAGGUGAGGAAGGAGAGGAAGAGAGGUGAGGAAGGAGAGGAAGAGAGGUGAGGAAGGGGGACAAGAGGCGAGGAAGGGGGACAAGAGGUGAGGAAGGGGGACAAGAGGUGAGGAAGGGGGACAAGAGGUGAGGAAGGAGAGGAAGAGAGAGGCAGCAAGUGUCAGCGGUGGAGGAGAGGUGAAAAAGGGGGAGGAGAGGUGAGGAAGGGGGACAAGAGGUGAGGAAGAGGGAGGAGAGGUGAGGAAGAGGGAGGAGAGGUGAGGAAGGGGGAUGAGAGGUGAGGAAGGGGGAUGAGAGGUGAGGAAGGGGGAUGAGAGGUGAGGAAGAAGAGGAAGAGAGGUGAGGAAGAGGGAGGAGAGGUGAGGAAGAGGGAGGAGAGGUGAGGAAGGGGGAUGAGAGGUGAGGAAGGGGGAGGAGAGGUGAGGAAGAGGGAGGAGAGGUGAGGAAGAGGGAGGAGAGGUGAGGAAGGGGGAUGAGAGGUGAGGAAGGAGAGGAAGAGAGGUGAGGAAGAGGGGAGGAGAGGUGAGGAAGGGGGAGGAGAGGUGAGGAAGGGGGAUGAGAGGUGAGGAAGGGGGAGGAGAGGUGAGGAAGGGGGAGGAGAGGUGAGGAAGGGGGAUGAGAGGUGAGGAAGGGGGACAAGAGGUGAGGAAGAGGGAGGAGAGGUGAGGAAGAGGGAGGAGAGGUGAGGAAGAGGGAUGAGAGGUGAGGAAGAGGGAUGAGAGGUGAGGAAGGGGGACAAGAGGUGAGGAAGAGGGAGGAGAGGUGAGGAAGAGGGAGGAGAGGUGAGGAAGAGGGAGGAGAGGUGAGGAAGGAGAGGAAGAGAGAGGCAGCAAGUGUCAGUGGUGAAAGAGAGGUGAAAAAGGGGGAGGAAGGUGAGGACAGAAAGAUUCCAAAAUGUCUUUCACUUCUAGAACAUCUCAAACACUUCCCCUGCUUCCACUAUGCCUCUUCCUCCUCUCCAUCCCUCCUUCCUGUCCAGGGACACCUUUAGUCAGUAGUACAGGUCAUGUAAAAUGACAACAACAUAGAAAUACAUUUACAGAUUAAUAAUACUAACAAUAUUAUAGCCACAGAAUAUUCUACAUGUACAGAUAACGUCUGCAUCCCAAAUGUAACCUAUUCCCUAUAUAGUGCACUACUUUUGGCCAGAGCCCAUAUAGAAAAGGGUGAAGGGUUUGGGACAUAGACCAACUUGUGACCAGUUCACAAGCAAAAACCAAACAAGGUGGUAAAGAAAUAGAUUGUUUUCAUACAGAAGAUAGAUGUUGGUAUGAUGUGACUGCUGGUUUCUUCUUGACACACACACACACACACACACACACACACACACACACACACACACCUGCCUUCUCACUUUCCCUUACAGCAUGUGUGUGUUUGCAGGUAGAUGAGAAGAAAGAAUGAAAGAGAGAGGGAAUGAAAGAGAGAGGUUGCAGUGUCCCUUGGUUUGUAGCUGUGCAACAGAGGCCGAAGGGAAAGAUGCCCACCUGUCAAGUCCACCUUUAAUUUAGACCUGGCACCAAGAGAAAGAGAGAGAGGAGGGAGAGAGACGGACCGACGGGGGGGAUUAGAGUGAGGCGAGGACAGAUACAGGGAAAGAGGAGGAGGGGGAAAAAAAAACUCUCCCUCUCUCUCUCGUUGGCUGUGAGCUUCACUGUAGCAGAGAUAGUAGAGAUGAGAACAGCUUAGAGACCAAAAAGCAGCCGUCAAUCCCCGGAGAUUAACACACACACACACGCGAUUUAAAAAUAAAUAAUAAUAUAGAAUCUGUAUAUGGUCUCCUAACCCAUCUCUCUAAUGACAACUGAACAGGAGGGAGGCAGAGGAUUAUUUUAGGUACUUAUUGACUUAAUCAGCAUCCCAAGUAGAACCCUACAUAGUGCACUACUUUUAUCCAGGGCACAUAGGGAUCUGGUCAAACGUAGUGCACUAUAUAGGGAAUAGGCUGCCAUUUGAGACACAUCCUUAGCCAAUACUACAGGGAACUAGACUGGCCCUAAAACCAACAGAGAGAGAGAGUUAGAGAGUUAGAGAGAGAGAGAGAGAGAGAGAGAGAGAGAGAGAGAGAGAGAGAGAGACAGAGACAGACAGAGACAGAGACAGACAGAGAGAGAGAGAGAGAGACAGAGAGACAGAGACAGAGAGAGAGAGAGAGAGAGAGAGACAGAGACAGACAGAGACAGAGACAGAGAGAGAGAGAGCGUACUGUACUUGUCUGUGUUUGUUGCGUGGUUCCUAGAAAACCACGGCCGGAGCAGUGCAUCACACACACAGAGUUGAUUAUAGUCCACAUAUGGGCAGACCCUGCCCCCACACCAGCGCAGGAUGUCAAUUGGAUGACUACAGGGGUCAGAGGUCAAUAACUCAUCCUGACCAAUGAUAGCUUGCUGUGUCUGUGACGUUAUUUCCACAUCAUCCCUCUUUCAUUAACGCUCUCUGUUCGUCCAUCCAUCAAUCCAUCCAUCCAUCCAUCCAUCCAUCCAUCCAUCCAAUGAAUGUAUCCCCCAGCCGCAGAUCAGGGGAUUAGUAUCUUAGCUAUUAUAUCAUGCAGCGUUAGCAUCAUGCUACACUAGCUCGGAGCUAGCGCUGCCCACAACUUCCUUCUGUAAACGUGGAACAUUUCAUUGUCUAGCCAACAGCAGAGAAUCUCAGUGAUAGAGGGGUAAACCACUCACUACCGCCGACACAACACCCCCAUCUGGCAGUCCAAUCUGUGUACUGCACCUCAACACAGACAGCCAAGAGUGUCGCAAAUGUUUUUGGUGCUGAGAUUCACUUUUUGGCUUUUCCUGACCCUCCAAUCUCGAAAGUCAAAACAUCGCCAACCAUUCAGAUAGUCCAAACAGAAACUACUCCAAGUUGAACCACCAGCUUUAAAUGUGGGACAGAUAGUGGUUAAGAGAAGCUACACUUUUAGUUUUGGGACAGAUAGUGGUUAAGAGAAGCUACACUUUUAGUUUUGGGACAGAUAGUGGUUAAGAGAAGCUACACUUUUAGUUUUGGGACAGAUAGUGGUUAAGAGAAGCU